rnacentral:rRNA from 1 species
GUGAACGCUGGCGGUAGGCCUAACACAUGCAAGUCGAACGGCAGCACCGUAAGAGCUUGCUCUUACGGGUGGCGAGUGGCGGACGGGUGAGGAAUACAUCGGAAUCUACUUUUUCGUGGGGGAUAACGUAGGGAAACUUACGCUAAUACCGCAUACGACCUACGGGUGAAAGCAGGGGAUCUUCGGACCUUGCGCGAUUGAAUGAGCCGAUGUCGGAUUAGCUAGUUGGCGGGGUAAAGGCCCACCAAGGCGACGAUCCGUAGCUGGUCUGAGAGGAUGAUCAGCCACACUGGAACUGAGACACGGUCCAGACUCCUACGGGAGGCAGCAGUGGGGAAUAUUGGACAAUGGGCGCAAGCCUGAUCCAGCCAUACCGCGUGGGUGAAGAAGGCCUUCGGGUCGUAAAGCCCUUUUGUUGGGAAAGAAAAGCAGCAGGUUAAUACCCCGCUGUUCUGACGGUACCCAAAGAAUAAGCACCGGCUAACUUCGUG